AUGGAUUACCUGAACAGGAGAUCCACGGCGAGUGAGAUGAAGGAGACCGUUAAUUUUUCAGUGACGAGCGAACUCUGCGGAGGGAUCAGGAUUGGCUUUCCUUUGGAGAGCUCGCCUGUCACCAGGGAUGCUAGAUGGAGAGAGAUCUGGAACUCAUCUGCGGACAACCCCACAAGGAAGCAGAUCCCCCCACAAUUUAGAAAGAUGUUCACGAGUGCGUCAUCUGGUCAGGACAACAGGGACGGUCGGUCUUUGAACGACAUCGGCAAGGAUUAUGGGAGGCAGUUGAGUAUCGAGAGCUGGAAGAAAAAAAUACUACAAAACAAGAAGAAGAUCAAGGAUGCAGAUGUUGUCAAACACGCACAUGCCAUGCAGGCUCGAAUAAUUGGAGUCCAGAGUGAGAUACAAGUUCUUGGCAAACGCCCCAACCAGGAGCAUGGUGUGCAACAGACACCUGCCAAGAGGAGCAUUCUAAGCAGCAGAGACUCCACUAAGCAGAUUGUGCUAGUAACGAGGAAAACUUCAAACGCUGAUUGCCAUAACUUCCACACGCAGGUGUACGAGGAAGGAAGCAAGGGUCCUUCCAAAGGAUCUCCGAUGGCAUUCAAAAUCGUCAGCAAAAUCACCAAUGCACAGAGGUUGUCGCCAAGAUUUGCUGGACAAGAGAGGCAUGGGAAAACAAAGGAUUUGGCGGAGGGGAUAACAGAUGAGAGAAAGAAAUAUCAUAGUUCUCCAUCCAUUUCGAAGGAAACACAACAUUCACAGCAGCAUGUAGCGUACAGCGCCAGCACGGAUUGCAUGGUAGAAGCAGCACAGUCCCUUGGUUGCACGAGUGCCGGAGAAACAGGGAGCAGCAUUGCACAAUGCAACAUUGGAGAGGCAGACUCAUUUAUGGAUUUGGCCGUGCCAUGCAGAAACGACGCUGCUGCAUAUGCUAGAAAGGUUGGCUUUGCUGCCAAGCGAUCAACGAGCAGAAGAUCGACAUAUGAUCAGCAGCUUGACAAGCAGGUGUUUCAGUGCAACAAGGAAGGGCAGAAUAAAACAACUGAGAGACAUGUUAAGGAGAGAAGGAGCAACUGCUUGAUCCGGACAAGCUGCCCAGUCCAAAUAACAGCCAAGAGGGAUACAUAUAGGAGGAAAUGGUACCUGAAGAACGUUCGUCUAGAGCACAACCACCAGCUUGACCCAUCUGAUUGGAUGCCGAAGUUCAUGAGAUGCUAUAAGAAGAUGACACCUCAGGAGAAAUUCUUUAUACAAGUGCUGCAGAAGGCGAGGUUAGAAUCAAGGAAGGUUAUGCAGAUUUUUACUGCCAUGGGGAAACCGAAGCGAGAAAUUAUGUUCGACACGAUUGACAUAAGCAACAUUGCAUGUCGGGACAGGGCUGCAGAGCGCGGCACUGAUAUCGCAGACACCAUGAAAAUGUUUGCUGAUAUGCAGAGGCGGAGGCCGGGAUUCCACCAUGUGGAAGAGACAGAGAACAAUGUAGUGCGCAACCUGUUCUGGAUAGAUUCCUUGUUUAAGAUGAAUUAUGAUCUAUAUGGAGAUUUCGUGUCUUUUGACACCAUAUUCUCUACGAAUAUAUAUGGCUUGCCAUUUGCACCAAUUAUAGGUGUCGACAACCACGGGUCGACCGUCCUGUUUGGAGUAGGCCUUUUGAAGGAUGAGAAAAUAGGGUCAUUCAAGUGGCUCCUAAGCAUGUUUGUCGAGGCAAUGGGUGUUAAAGAGCCGAAAUACAUAAUAACAAACCAGGACCAGGCGAUGAAGACUGCAAUAAAGGAAGCUCUUCCGAGGACGAAGCACGGGUUCUGCUGGUGGCAUAUUAGGAAGAACCUGAAGGAAAAUAACGCAGCAGUGUUUGCGCAGCACCCAGGGAUUGAGAGCACGAAUUCGAUGUGGAAGAAUUACGUCGACCACAAGGACACUAUAAAAAGCGGAGAGGCGGCGGCCGGCCCCUACCCCCGUCGCCAUGGCGUGGCCAACGCGUCGCCCGUCCCCUCCGCUGUGCCGACCCGGUGCGGCGUCGCCCCGGCGCGGCCGGCCCGUCGCCUCCGCUGCGCCGGCCUGUCGCGGCCUCCUAUCACCACCUCCCCGUCGAAGCGUCCGUCCACGCCCAUUGCCCGCCGACCCCGCACUCCCACCGGACGGCCCGAGCUCUUCUCCCUUUCCUCGAGCUGGCCAUGGAGGUCGUUGACCCUACCACCGAUCGAGUUCCUGCCGUCGCGCGCGCGACCCUGUGGAUCCGGUCGACAUCGAGCAGCCACCGCCAGAUCUGAUGCGCGUGACCCCGCCGGACCUCCCUGCCUCGCCCCUCCGUGCGCGCCACCGGCCCUGCCUCGCCCAGCCACGUCGCCGGCCCUGCCUUGCCGAGGAGAAGACGAAGAUUCAAUUUCUUUUUUACAAAUUUAUGUAAGGAAAUUCCAGCUGGAGCUACGGAUCUGGAGUUACUUCAAGUGCUCUGACCUGCAAAGGGGAGGCAAUAUUUUUUUAAAAAGAUUACUGAGCCUGGAGAAAAAGUGUGGAAACCAUAUCCGGGCGAGGAAUUUGACAGGUGAUGGACCAAACAGGCAUGAUCGAUCAACUUCCAAAAUCCUUUGUCAUCCCCAGAUGGACCAGGAAUCUAUCAGAGAGUCUGAAAGUUCUGUCUACAAGUCAAGAAAAGAGAAGGCAUACCGUGUGCUGCGUGAGUGUACGGUAGAUAUGAAAAUAAAAGUCAUGGCGGCACUUGCCGAGGAACCAGACACAGGAAUUCUUGCCGAAACUCUCAAGAACCCUCCCAUGAGUGGCUCAAAGGGAGAAGAGGGCAAGGUCAAUGAAAUGGCCGACAACACCGACAACACCGUCGGGGACAUCAAACGGCUCAGGACAAUGCACUCCAAGCCCAGGAGGAAGACGUCAGACGCCAGCAACUCCAACGACCCCACUGACAGCAGGGAGCAUUUACCAAAGUCUUGCAUCUACGCCAGAAUCAAACAUCACACAAGCCAGGCACACAGAAUGCGAACAGGGAAGCCCGGGACAAGGCACGGAAUCUGCGCAGUCCAUUUUCAGAAAGGAAAGGUUGUACCGGAGAACACUAUGCAGAAGGGUGGGGUUGCACAAGGGUCGAGAAGGAAGAAUGGAUCGCUGAACAUUCAAAAACAAGGCCUCACGUGGAGCGAUGAAAUAGCAAGGAAUUGGUGGGGAGGGCGGGCGGUUGUCGAUUGUUUAUUUUCUUGUGCUGUGGUUAUAAGAACGGCUUCUGCGUCGGUUUCUGAACGUGGAUGUUUGCCUGGCAGUAGGUUCACGGCGUUUGCUGUGAGAGAAUCACGUCUUUACUUGCUACUAAAGCACGUGGAAUCACGGCCGUGCCUAACAGUGCGUCACAAUGCCAAAGGCAGGACCGUGUGUCUGGUACGUGACAAUGCCAAGCCGUAUCGUGUGUCUGCGUCCUCCACGGUCCCGACCACCCUGCUCCGUCGUGCCGCCGCUACCUACUGCUCGACGCCGCCCAGACCGCGUGCACGCCGCCGCUCGCCCGCACCACCCCUCGGCGUCGUCCUGAUGCUGCCUCGACUCGUCUUCCCCUUCUGUUGCGUUGCUCCCCGGGACGCCCCCUCGCGCGAACCCCCCGUCCUCCGCUGCUGCUGUAAUCCAUUUCUCCAGAUCCACCUCAGUGAGCACUGGUCGUGGGCGACGCCACCCCAGCAACGGAGGUGGAGAUGGAAAGCGCUGCUCGUAGCAUCAAGAGGUCGAGAGUGGCGCCACCGGCGACGCCGCUUUCUGGUGUGCAGGCCCUCCACCGUUGAUGCCUGGCUCCGAUCCUGGAAGUUGAACAAUAUCCAGGUUCUUGAGUUCUACUACCUCUUCCCAGAAUUUCUGACGCAAGAGAGUCAGGACUUGGAGGUAACCGUUGUCUCUGCGUCUGAACCGUAUCCAUGUCGUCUCACGUGUCUUGAGGGUUUGAAGGCAGUCAGUCUAACAACAAUGCGUCAAUCUGUCAAGACCUUGCUUAUCUACAUGUAUUAUAAGGUGGACACCAUCGUUGAAUUGCUGCAAUGCUUUCCAAAACUGGAGAACUUGUUUGUCGAGGUGAUGAUCUUCAGAAAUUUGCAUUCUGUAGUACUCGUUCCUUUUUGA
rnacentral:rRNA from 1 species